AUUCUAAUUUCACGCCCAAUCAACUUACUAAGUUUCUAAAGGCUAGAAAUGAUAAAACCAACCCGAAAUAUGGUUAAAGCAUUUCAUCAAACAUGUUGAGUGCGAAAAACUUGAAACGAAAUAAGAGAAUUCAAAGCUUAGUAUCAAUGUGAUAGAGAAGAGAACAUAACUAUUGUAUACUUUAAUGCAGUCUAUGAAAAAAAUCCAAACCACUGCCAAAUCAAAUAGUUACUUAUUGUAAUAGAAAUAAGAAGUUGCAGAGUUUCAAGCAGUGUAUUGGUGUUGUGUGAGUGUGUUGGUGGUGGGUUUAGGGAACUCACGGCGGCGACAAAAGAGAGCAGUUCGACAGCUAGGUGGAGCGCACGGGUUGGUCGCAGAGUUUGAAGCAGGGCAACGUGGCUUCCAGACGAACGCGAACCCGAACGGUGAACGGCGAUGAACGCGAACGGUGAACGCCGAGCAAACUUGAACGGCGAAGAACGCGAACAAAGACGACGGCUGAACGAAGACGCGAACGUUAACGGCAACCAACGGCGGCGGAAGCGCGGCUGAGCAGACAAAGACGACGGACGCCGAGCUCGAGGAAGCAGCUGCGAUCGGUGACAGCGAACGGGGGUUGGAGACUUGGAGC